GACGAACGCUGGCGGCGUGCUUAACACAUGCAAGUCGAACGGUAAGGCCCUUCGGGGUACACGAGUGGCGAACGGGUGAGUAACACGUGGGUGAUCUGCCCUGCACUUCGGGAUAAGCCUGGGAAACUGGGUCUAAUACCGGAUAGGACCACUGCCUGCAUGGGUGGUGGUGGAAAGCUUUUGCGGUGUGGGAUGGGCCCGCGGCCUAUCAGCUUGUUGGUGGGGCGAUGGCCUACCAAGGCGACGACGGGUAGCCGGCCUGAGAGGGUGACCGGCCACACUGGGACUGAGAUACGGCCCAGACUCCUACGGGAGGCAGCAGUGGGGAAUAUUGCACAAUGGGCGCAAGCCUGAUGCAGCGACGCCGCGUGAGGGAUGACGGCCUUCGGGUUGUAAACCUCUUUCAGCACCGACGAAGCGCAAGUGACGGUAGGUGCAGAAGAAGUACCGGCCAACUACGUGCCAGCCGCGCCGUAAUAC
rnacentral:rRNA from 1 species